UACGAAGGGGGGCUAGCGUUGCUCGGAAUCACUGGGCGUAAAGGGCGUGUAGGCGGGAAGGAAAGUCAGAUGUGAAAGCCCUGGGCUCAACCCAGGAAUGCAUUUGAAACUCCAGUAUCUGAGUCGUGGAGAGGAAAGGCGGAAUUCUCGGUGUAGAGGUGAAAUUCGUAGAUAUCAGGAGAACACGGUGGCGAAGGCGGCCUUCUGG
rnacentral:rRNA from 1 species